ACCAGCGGCGUCCUCCUUGGACCACCGCGACGAGAGGCAGGAACCGAAGCAGAUGCGGCCGGAGCCGGACCGCCAGGGACCGAUGCAGAUGCGACCGGAGCCGGACCGCCAGGAACCGAUGCAGAUGCGGCCGGAGCCGGGCCGCCAGGAACCGAUGCAGAUGCGUCCGGAGCCGGGACGGGAGCGACCCCCUCCUGGAGGUCGGCAGGAACUACGGAGCGACCCCUCCUGGAGGUCGGCAGGAACUACGGCGGGAGCGACCCCCUCCUGGAGGUCGGCAGGAACUACGACGGGAGUGACCCCCUCCUGGAGGUCGGCAGGAACUACGACGGGAGCGACCCCCUCCUGGAGGUCGGCAGGAACUACGACGGGAGCGACCCCCUCCUGGGGGUCCGCCGGGACUGCGGCGGGCGCGACCCCCUCCUGGGGGUCCGCCGGGACUGCGGCGGGCGCGACCCCCUCCUGGGGGUCCGCCGGGACUGCGGCGGGCGCGACCCCCUCCUGGGGGUCCGCCGGGACUGCGGCUGGCGCGACCCCUCCUGGGGGUCCGCCGGGACUGCGGCUGGCGCGACCCCCUCCUGGAGGUGCGCCGGGACUGCGGCUGGCGCAACCUCCUCCUGGAGGUGCGCCGGGACUGCGGCUGGCGCAACCUCCUCCUGGAGGUGCGCCGGGACUGCGGCUGGCGCAACCUCCUCCUGGAGGUGCGCAGGAACUGCGGCUGGCGCAACCUCCUCCUGGAGGUGCGCAGGAACUGCGGCUGGCGCAACCUCCUCCUGGAGGUGCGCAGGAACUGCGACUGGCGCGACCUCCUCCUGGAGGUGCGCAGGAACUGCGACUAGCGCGACCUCCUCCUGGAGGUGCGCAGGAACUGCGGCUGGCGCGACCUCCUCCUGGAGGUGCGCAGGAGCUGUAGCUAGCGCGACCUCCUCCUGGAGGUGCGCAGGAACUGCGGCUAGCGCGACCUCCUCCUGGAGGUGCGCAGGAACUGCGGCUAGCGCGACCUCCUCCUGGAGGUGCGCAGGAACUGCGGCUAGCGCGACCUCCUCCUGGAGGUGCGCAGGAACUUCGGCUAGCGCGACCUCCUCCUGGAGGUGCGCAGGAACUGCGGCUAGCGCGACCUCCUCCUGGAGUUGCGCAGGAACUGCGGCUAGCGCGACCUCCUCCUGGAGUUGCGCAGGAACUGCGGCUAGCGCGACCUCCUCCUGGAGGUGCGCAGGAACUGCGGCUAGCGCGACCUCCUCCUGGAGGUGCGCAGGAACUGCGGCUAGCGCGACCUCCUCCUGGAGGUGCGCAGGAACUGCGACUGGCGCGACCUCCUCCUGGAGGUGCGCAGGAACUACGGCUAGCGCGACCUCCUCCUGGGGACCGGCGGGCGCUGCGGCUCCACGGGUGACGGGGACUGGAACGACCGCUACAGGGCCGACAGGAACGGGGACUGGAACGACCGCUACAGGGUCGACAGGAACGGGGACUGGAACGACCGCUACAGGGCCGACAGGAACGGGGUCAGAGACAGGGGUGACCUUUACUUGGCCUACGGGAACGCCCUCUACUUGGACUACGGGAACGCCAUCUACUCGGCCUACGGGAACGCCCUCUACUCGGCCUACGGGAACGCCCUCUACUCGGCCUACGGGAACGCCCUCUACUCGGCCUACGGGAACGCCCUCUACUCGGCCUACGGGAACGCCCUCUACUUGGCCUACGGGAACGCCCUCUACUUGGCCUACGGGAACGCCCUCUACUUGGCCUGCAGGGACAGGGACUGGAACGACCUCAAUUUGGUCGGCAGGGACAGGGACUGGAACGACCUCAAUUUGGUCGGCAGGGACAGGGACUGGAACGACCUCAACUUGGUCGGCAGGGACAGGAACUGGAACGACCUCAACAUGGCCGACAGGGACAGGAACUGGAACGACCUCGACAUGGCCGACAGGAACUGGAACGACCUCGACAUGGCCGACAGGAACUGGAACGACCUCGACAUGGCCGACAGGAACUGGAACGACCUCAACAUGGCCGACAGGAACUGGAACGACCUCAACAUGGCCGACAGGAACUGGAACGACCUCAACAUGGCCGACAGGAACUGGAACGACCUCAACAUGGCCGACAGGAACUGGAACGACCUCAACAUGGCCGACAGGGACAGGAACGACCUUUAACGGAUCGACAGGAACUGGAACGACCGCAACAUGGACGACAGGGACUGGAACGGCCUCUACUUGGCCGACAGGAACUAGAACGGCGUCCUCCUCUGAGGAGCCGACAGGAACUGGAACUAGAACGGCCUCAAUAUGGCCGACGGGAACAGGGACGGCGUCCUCCUCUGAGGAGCCGACAGGAACUAGAACGGCCGCAACAUGGCCGACAGGGACUGGAGCGGCGUCCCCUCCGGAGCUGGCAUGA
rnacentral:lncRNA from 1 species